AACGUACGCUGGCGGCACGCCUAACACAUGCAAGUCGAACGAAGUAGCAAUACUUAGUGGCAGACGGGUGAGUAACAUGUGGGUAUCUGCCCUUUGGCCUGGAAUAACACGAGGAAACUUGUGCUAAUACCGGAUAAGUCUUUACGGAGAAAGCUUUAUGCACCAUUGGAUGAGCCCGCACUUGAUUAGUUUGUUGGUGGGGUAAUGGCCUACCAAGACUGUGAUCAAUAGCUGAUUUGAGAGGAUGAUCAGCCACAUUGGGACUGAGACACGGCCCAAACUCCUACGGGAGGCAGCAGUGGGGAAUCUUGCACAAUGGAGGAAACUCUGAUGCAGCGAUGCCGCGUGAGUGAAGAAGGCCCUUGGGUUGUAAAGCUCUUUCGUCGGGGAAGAAAAUGACUGUACCCGAAUAAGAAGGUCCGGCUAACUUCGUGCCAGCAGCCGCGGUAAUACGAAGGGACCUAGCGUAGUUCGGAAUUACUGGGCUUAAAGAGUUCGUAGGUGGUUGAAAAAGUUAGUGGUGAAAUCCCAGAGCUUAACUCCGGAACUGCCAUUAAAACUUUUCAGCUAGAGUAUGAUAGAGGAAAGCAGAAUUUCUAGUGUAGAGGUGAAAUUCGUAGAUAUUAGAAAGAAUACCAAUUGCGAAGGCAGCUUUCUGGAUCAUUACUGACACUGAGGAACGAAAGCAUGGGUAGCGAAGAGGAUUAGAUACCCUCGUAGUCCAUGCCGUAAACGAUGUGUGUUAGACGUUGGAAAUUUAUUUUCAGUGUCGCAGCGAAAGCGAUAAACACACCGCCUGGGGAGUACGACCGCAAGGUUAAAACUCAAAUGAAUUGACGGGGACCCGCACAAGUAGUGGAGCAUGUGGUUUAAUUCGAAGAUACGCGCAGAACCUUACCAACACUUGACAUGUUCGUCGCGACUCUAAGAGAUUAGAGUUUUCGGUUCGGCCGGACGAAACACAGGUGCUGCAUGGCUGUCGUCAGCUCGUGUCGUGAGAUGUUGGGUUAAGUCCCGCAACGAGCGCAACCCUCACUUUUAGUUGCCAUCAUUAAGUUGGGCACUCUGAAAGAACGGCCAGUGAUAAGCUGGAGGAAGGUGGGGAUGACGUCAAGUCCUCAUGGCCCUUACGUGUUGGGCUACACACGUGCUACAAUGGUAUCUACAACAGGAAGCAAGACUGCGAGGUCAAGCAAAUCCUUAAAAGAUACCUCAGUUCGGAUUGCACUCUGCAACUCGAGUGCAUGAAGCUGGAAUUACUAGUAAUCGUGGAUCAGCGUGCCACGGUGAAUGCGUUCCCGGGUCU
rnacentral:rRNA from 1 species